AUUAGCAUAUCAAUAAGCGGAGGAAAAGAAACCAACAGGGAUUGCCCUAGUAACGGCGAGUGAAGCGGCAACAGCUCAAAUUUGAAAGCUGGCCUUCUGGUCCGCAUUGUAAUUUGCAGAGGAUGCUUUUGGCGCGGUGCCUUCCGAGUUCCCUGGAACGGGACGCCUUAGAGGGUGAGAGCCCCGUACGGUUGGACACUAAGCCUCUGUAAAGCUCCUUCGACGAGUCGAGUAGUUUGGGAAUGCUGCUCUAAAUGGGAGGUAAAUUUCUUCUAAAGCUAAAUACCGGCCAGAGACCGAUAGCGCACAAGUAGAGUGAUCGAAAGAUGAAAAGCACUUUGAAAAGAGGGUUAAACAGCACGUGAAAUUGUUGAAAGGGAAGCGUUUGCGACCAGACUUUUUCCAGGCGGAUCAUCCGGUGUUCUCACCGGUGCACUUCGCCUGGUUUAGGCCAGCAUCGGUUUCUGUAGGGGGAUAAAAGCUUGGGGAAAGUAGCUCUCUCGGGAGUGUUAUAGCCCCUUGCAUAAUACCCCUACGGGGACCGAGGAUCGCGCUCUGCAAGGAUGCUGGCGUAAUGGUCGUCAACGACCCGUCUUGAAACACGGACCAAGGAGUCGAACAUUUGUGCGAGUGUUUGGGUGUUAAACCCUCACGCGUAAUGAAAGUGAACGGAGGUGAGAGCCCUUACGGGUGCAUCAUCGACCGAUCCUGAUGUCUUCGGAUGGAUUUGAGUAAGAGCAUUAAUGUUCGGACCCGAAAGAUGGUGAACUAUGCGUGGAUAGGGUGAAGCCAGAGGAAACUCUGGUGGAGGCUCGCAGCGGUUCUGACGUGCAAAUCGAUCGUCAAAUCUGCGCAUGGGGGCGAAAGACUAAUCGAACCAUCUAGUAGCUGGUUACCGCC
rnacentral:rRNA from 1 species